rnacentral:rRNA from 1 species
UAGUCCACGCCGUAAACGAUGAUAACUAGCUGUUCGGGCCCACAGGGCUUGAGUGGCGCAGCUAACGCAUUAAGUUAUCCGCCUGGGGAGUACGGUCGCAAGAUUAAAACUCAAAGGAAUUGACGGGGGCCUGCACAAGCGGUGGAGCAUGUGGUUUAAUUCGACGCAACGCGCAGAACCUUACCAGCUUUUGACAUCCUGGUCGCGGAUUUGGGAGACCAUUUCCUUCAGUUCGGCUGGACCAGUGACAGGUGCUGCAUGGCUGUCGUCAGCUCGUGUUGUGAAAUGCUGGGUUAAGUCCCGCAACGAGCGCAACCCUUGUCCUUAGUUGCCAGCAUUAAGUUGGGCACUCUGGGGAGACUGCCGGUGUUAAACCGGAGGAAGGCGGGGAUGACGUCAAGUCCUCAUGGCCCUUACGUCUAGGGCUACACACGUACUACAAUGGCAAAGACAAAGCGACGCCAAGCCGCGAGGUGGAGCAAAUCGCAAAAACAUUGUCUCAGUCCGGAUUG